UAGCGUAUAUUAAAGUUGCUGCAGUUAAAAAGCUCGUAGUUGGAUCUCGGGAGUGGGUUGGCGGUCCGCCGCAAGGCGAGCCACCGCCUGUCCCAGACCCUGCCUCCCCGGCGCCCCCCGGAUGCCCUUGGCUGGGUGUCCGGUCCCUUGCAGGGGCCCGGAGCGUUUACUUUGAAAAAAUUAGAGUGUUCAAAGCGGGCCGCCCAACUCGCCUGAAUACCUGAGCUAGGAAUAAUGGAAUAGGACUCCGGUUCUAUUUUGUGGGUUUUCGGAACCAGGGCCAUGAUUAAGAGGGACGGCCGGGGGCAUUCGUAUUGCGCCGCUAGAGGUGAAAUUCUUGGACCGGCGCAAGACGGACGAAA
rnacentral:rRNA from 1 species